UAGGUUGACCAACCAUCCCAGUUUACCUAGAGUUGCAGAGUUGCCAAGGACAUGGUGCUUCCAGUGCUAAUCUGGAACAAUCCUGGGCAAGCCAGGAUGGUUGGGUCAUAAGACAUU
rnacentral:miRNA from 1 species